rnacentral:rRNA from 1 species
ACCCUUUGGGGUGUGACUGCGUACCUUUUGUAUAAUGGGUCAGCGACUUAUAUUCUGUAGCAAGGUUAACCGAAUAGGGGAGCCGGAGGGAAACCGAGUCUUAACCGGGCGUUAAGUUGCAGGGUAUAGACCCGAAACCCGGUGAUCUAGCCAUGGGCAGGUUGAAGGUUGGGUAACACUAACUGGAGGACCGAACCGACUAAUGUUGAAAAAUUAGCGGAUGACCUGUGGCUGGGGGUGAAAGGCCAAUCAAACCGGGAGAUAGCUGGUUCUCCCCGAAAGCUAUUUAGGUAGCGCCUCGUGAAUUCAUCUCCGGGGGUAGAGCACUGUUUCGGCUAGGGGGCCAUCCCGGCUUACCAACCCGAUGCAAACUGCGAAUACCGGAGAAUGUUAUCACGGGAGACACACGGCGGGUGCUAACGUCCGUCGUGAAGAGGGAAACAACCCAGACCGCCAGCUAAGGUCCCAAAGUCAUGGUUAAGUGGGAAACGAUGUGGGAAGGCCCAGACAGCCAGGAUGUUGGCUUAGAAGCAGCCAUCAUUUAAAGAAAGCGUAAUAGCUCACUGGUCGAGUCGGCCUGCGCGGAAGAUGUAACGGGGCUAAACCAUGCACCGAAGCUGCGGCAGCGACGCUGAUGCGUUGUUGGGUAGGGGAGCGUUCUGUAAGCCUGCGAAGGUGGCCUGUGAGGGUUGCUGGAGGUAUCAGAAGUGCGAAUGCUGACAUAAGUAACGAUAAAGCGGGUGAAAAGCCCGCUCGCCGGAAGACCAAGGGUUCCUGUCCAACGUUAAUCGGGGCAGGGUGAGUCGACCCCUAAGGCGAGGCCGAAAGGCGUAGUCGAUGGGAAACGGGUUAAUAUUCCCGUACUUGGUGUUACUGCGAAGGGGGGACGGAGAAGGCUAUGUUGGCCGGGCGACGGUUGUCCCGGUUUAAGCGUGUAGGUGUGUGUUCCAGGUAAAUCCGGUUCACUUUAACACUGAGGCGUGAUGACGAGGCACUACGGUGCUGAAGCAACAAAUGCCCUGCUUCCAGGAAAAGCCUCUAAGCAUCAGGUAACAUCAAAUCGUACCCCAAACCGACACAGGUGGUCAGGUAGAGAAUACCAAGGCGCUUGAGAGAACUCGGGUGAAGGAACUAGGCAAAAUGGUGCCGUAACUUCGGGAGAAGGCACGCUGACACGUAGGUGAAGUGAUUUACUCAUGGAGCUGAAGUCAGUCGAAGAUACCAGCUGGCUGCAACUGUUUAUUAAAAACACAGCACUGUGCAAACACGAAAGUGGACGUAUACGGUGUGACGCCUGCCCGGUGCCGGAAGGUUAAUUGAUGGGGUCAGCGCAAGCGAAGCUCCUGAUCGAAGCCCCGGUAAACGGCGGCCGUAACUAUAACGGUCCUAAGGUAGCGAAAUUCCUUGUCGGGUAAGUUCCGACCUGCACGAAUGGCGUAAUGAUGGCCAGGCUGUCUCCACCCGAGACUCAGUGAAAUUGAACUCGCUGUGAAGAUGCAGUGUACCCGCGGCAAGACGGAAAGACCCCGUGAACCUUUACUAUAGCUUGACACUGAACAUUGAGCCUUGAUGUGUAGGAUAGGUGGGAGGCUUUGAAGUGUGGACGCCAGUCUGCAUGGAGCCGGCCUUGAAAUACCACCCUUUAAUGUUUGAUGUUCUAACGUGGACCCGUGAUCCGGGUUGCGGACAGUGUCUGGUGGGUAGUUUGACUGGGGCGGUCUCCUCCUAAAGAGUAACGGAGGAGCACGAAGGUUGGCUAAUCCUGGUCGGACAUCAGGAGGUUAGUGCAAUGGCAUAAGCCAGCUUGACUGCGAGCGUGACGGCGCGAGCAGGUGCGAAAGCAGGUCAUAGUGAUCCGGUGGUUCUGAAUGGAAGGGCCAUCGCUCAACGGAUAAAAGGUACUCCGGGGAUAACAGGCUGAUACCGCCCAAGAGUUCAUAUCGACGGCGGUGUUUGGCACCUCGAUGUCGGCUCAUCACAUCCUGGGGCUGAAGUAGGUCCCAAGGGUAUGGCUGUUCGCCAUUUAAAGUGGUACGCGAGCUGGGUUUAGAACGUCGUGAGACAGUUCGGUCCCUAUCUGCCGUGGGCGCUGGAGAACUGAGGGGGGCUGCUCCUAGUACGAGAGGACCGGAGUGGACGCAUCACUGGUGUUCGGGUUGUCAUGCCAAUGGCACUGCCCGGUAGCUAAAUGCGGAAGAGAUAAGUGCUGAAAGCAUCUAAGCACGAAACUUGCCCCGAGAUGAGUUCUCCCUGAGACUUAGAGUCUCCUGAAGGAACGUUGAAGACGACGACGUUGAUAGGCCGGGUGUGUAAGCGCAGCGAUGCGUUGAGCUAACCGGUACUAAUGAACCGUGAGGCUUAACCUUACA